rnacentral:rRNA from 1 species
UGCUAAUACCGGAUAACAACAGAUGAUGCCUAUCAACUGUUUAAAAGGUGGUUCUGCUAUCACUCUUGGAUGGACCUGCGGUGCAUUAGCUAGUUGGUAGGGUAACGGCCUACCAAGGCGAUGAUGCAUAGCCGAGUUGAGAGACUGAUCGGCCACAUUGGGACUGAGACACGGCCCAAACUCCUACGGGAGGCAGCAGCA